CAUGCAAGUCGAACGGACUUUUCAUGAAGCCUAGCGAUUGAAAAGUUAGUGGCGGACGGGUGAGUAACGCGUGGGUAACCUGCCUUGUACUGGGGGACAACAGUUGGAAACGACUGCUAAUACCGCAUAAGCGCACAGCUUCGCAUGAAGCAGUGUGAAAAACUCCGGUGGUACAAGAUGGACCCGCGUCUGAUUAGCUGGUUGGUGAGGUAACGGCCCACCAAGGCGACGAUCAGUAGCCGGCCUGAGAGGGUGAACGGCCACAUUGGGACUGAGGCACGGCCCAAACUCCUACGGGAGGCAGCAGUGGGGAAUAUUGCACAAUGGGGGAAACCCUGAUGCAGCAACGCCGCGUGAGUGAAGAAGUAUUUCGGUAUGUAAAGCUCUAUCAGCAGGAAAGAAAAUGACGGUACCUGACUAAGAAGCCCCGGCUAACUACGUGCCAGCAGCCGCGGUAAUACGUAGGGGGCAAGCGUUAUCCGGAUUUACUGGGUGUAAAGGGAGCGUAGACGGUCUUGCAAGUCUGAAGUGAAAGCCCGGGGCUUAACCCCGGGACUGCUUUGGAAACUGUAGGACUAGAGUGCAGGAGAGGUAAGUGGAAUUCCUAGUGUAGCGGUGAAAUGCGUAGAUAUUAGGAGGAACACCAGUGGCGAAGGCGGCUUACUGGACUGUAACUGACGUUGAGGCUCGAAAGCGUGGGGAGCAAACAGGAUUAGAUACCCUGGUAGUCCACGCCGUAAACGAUGAUUACUAGGUGUUGGUGGGUAUGACCCAUCGGUGCCGCAGCAAACGCAAUAAGUAAUCCACCUGGGGAGUACGUUCGCAAGAAUGAAACUCAAAGGAAUUGACGGG
rnacentral:rRNA from 1 species